GGUGAGGUUGAUGGAGGCUGCGUCACUUUAGUUUCUGUUGAUGUAGUUUCUGAUCUACUGGUGCUGAAAAUAGAAAACAAAUAAAGAGUUUGAAAAAAAGUUUAGGACACAGCAACACAGUCAACAAUUAAACGUAACACGAAGACAUUGAAUAUCGCACAAGACCAAUAGCACUCCAAAAAAGGAAAGAGAAAUCUCAAUCUUCAAUUUAGCAAUCUAUUAUUUACAUGAAUUAUUCAUGUACUGAGACAGUUAGGUGCGUACGGAAAAACAAGCGAUACGUUUGUAAAAUUCCUUCGUGAAAC